CGGGACACGUGGUAUCCUGUCUGAAUAUGGGGGGACCAUCCUCCAAGGCUAAAUACUCCUGACUGACCGAUAGUGAACCAGUACCGUGAGGGAAAGGCGAAAAGAACCCCGGCGAGGGGAGUGAAAAAGAACCUGAAACCGUGUACGUACAAGCAGUGGGAGCACGCUUAGGCGUGUGACUGCGUACCUUUUGUAUAAUGGGUCAGCGACUUAUAUUCUGUAGCAAGGUUAACCGAAUAGGGGAGCCGAAGGGAAACCGAGUCUUAACUGGGCGUUAAGUUGCAGGGUAUAGACCCGAAACCCGGUGAUCUAGCCAUGGGCAGGUUGAAGGUUGGGUAACACUAACUGGAGGACCGAACCGACUAAUGUUGAAAAAUUAGCGGAUGACUUGUGGCUGGGGGUGAAAGGCCAAUCAAACCGGGAGAUAGCUGGUUCUCCCCGAAAGCUAUUUAGGUAGCGCCUCGUGAAUUCAUCUCCGGGGGUAGAGCACUGUUUCGGCAAGGGGGUCAUCCCGACUUACCAACCCGAUGCAAACUGCGAAUACCGGAGAAUGUUAUCACGGGAGACACACGGCGGGUGCUAACGUCCGUCGUGAAGAGGGAAACAACCCAGACCGCCAGCUAAGGUCCCAAAGUCAUGGUUAAGUGGGAAACGAUGUGGGAAGGCCCAGACAGCCAGGAUGUUGGCUUAGAAGCAGCCAUCAUUUAAAGAAAGCGUAAUAGCUCACUGGUCGAGUCGGCCUGCGCGGAAGAUGUAACGGGGCUAAACCAUGCACCGAAGCUGCGGCAGCGACGCUGAUGCGUUGUUGGGUAGGGGAGCGUUCUGUAAGCCUGUGAAGGUGUGCUGUGAGGCAUGCUGGAGGUAUCAGAAGUGCGAAUGCUGACAUAAGUAACGAUAAAGCGGGUGAAAAGCCCGCUCGCCGGAAGACCAAGGGUUCCUGUCCAACGUUAAUCGGGGCAGGGUGAGUCGACCCCUAAGGCGAGGCCGAAAGGCGUAGUCGAUGGGAAACAGGUUAAUAUUCCUGUACUUGGUGUUACUGCGAAGGGGGGACGGAGAAGGCUAUGUUGGCCGGGCGACGGUUGUCCCGGUUUAAGCGUGUAGGCUGGUUUUCCAGGCAAAUCCGGAAAAUCAAGGCUGAGGCGUGAUGACGAGGCACUACGGUGCUGAAGCAACAAAUGCCCUGCUUCCAGGAAAAGCCUCUAAGCAUCAGGUAACAUCAAAUCGUACCCCAAACCGACACAGGUGGUCAGGUAGAGAAUACCAAGGCGCUUGAGAGAACUCGGGUGAAGGAACUAGGCAAAAUGGUGCCGUAACUUCGGGAGAAGGCACGCUGAUAUGUAGGUGAAGCGACUUGCUCGUGGAGCUGAAAUCAGUCGAAGAUACCAGCUGGCUGCAACUGUUUAUUAAAAACACAGCACUGUGCAAACACGAAAGUGGACGUAUACGGUGUGACGCCUGCCCGGUGCCGGAAGGUUAAUUGAUGGGGUCAGCGCAAGCGAAGCUCUUGAUCGAAGCCCCGGUAAACGGCGGCCGUAACUAUAACGGUCCUAAGGUAGCGAAAUUCCUUGUCGGGUAAGUUCCGACCUGCACGAAUGGCGUAAUGAUGGCCAGGCUGUCUCCACCCGAGACUCAGUGAAAUUGAACUCGCUGUGAAGAUGCAGUGUACCCGCGGCAAGACGGAAAGACCCCGUGAACCUUUACUAUAGCUUGACACUGAACAUUGAGCCUUGAUGUGUAGGAUAGGUGGGAGGCUUUGAAGUGUGGACGCCAGUCUGCAUGGAGCCGGCCUUGAAAUACCACCCUUUAAUGUUUGAUGUUCUAACGUUGACCCGUGAUCCGGGUUGCGGACAGUGUCUGGUGGGUAGUUUGACUGGGGCGGUCUCCUCCUAAAGAGUAACGGAGGAGCACGAAGGUUGGCUAAUCCUGGUCGGACAUCAGGAGGUUAGUGCAAUGGCAUAAGCCAGCUUGACUGCGAGCGUGACGGCGCGAGCAGGUGCGAAAGCAGGUCAUAGUGAUCCGGUGGUUCUGAAUGGAAGGGCCAUCGCUCAACGGAUAA
rnacentral:rRNA from 1 species